rnacentral:lncRNA from 1 species
UGAGUCUUGUGAUACUCCCCCCUAAAAGGUAUCGACUACAAAUGUAUACAAGUCAUCAUAUUUUGAAACGUUGUAAGACCACACUAAAAUCCUCCACUAGAAAGGGACCCAGUCUCAUGAUACCCUCCUUUAAGUGGGAUUGACUAUAAUUUCUACACAUUGACGUAUCCUUAAAAUGAGUAGGACCAUGCUAAUCUUUUCCCUAGAAAAGGAUUGAGUCUUGUGAUAAUCUCCCUAAGUGUAUCCUUAAAAUGAGUAGGACCAUGCUAAUCUUUUCCCUCUUGUGAUAAUCUCCCUAAGUAGGAUUGAUUGCAAAUGUCUACACACCAACCUAUCCUGCAAGGGAGUAAGACCAAGUUAAAAUUCUCUCUAGUAAUGAACCAAGUCUUGUGAUAUGAAGAUGAGAAAAAUACAAAAG